AUUGAACGCUGGCGGCAGGCCUAACACAUGCAAGUCGAGCGAGCGGCGGACGGGUGCGUACUGUCUGGGAACAUGCCUGUUGGAGGGGGAUCACUACUGGAAACGGUAUCUAAUACCGCAUACCAUGCGCUGUGCGCCGAGGGUAUUAGCGAGUAGGUGGGGUAAUGGCCUACCCAGGCGACGAUCCCUAGCUGGUCUGAGAGGAUGAUCAGCCACACUGGAACUGAGACACGGUCCAGACUCCUACGGGAGGCAGCAGUGGGGAAUAUUGCACAAUGGGCGCAAGCCUGAUGCAGCCACGCCGCGUGUGUGAAGAAGGCCUUCGGGUUGUAAAGCACUUUCAGCGGGGAGGCGUUACCCGCAGAAGAAGCAACGGCUAACUCCGUGCCAGCAGCCGCGGUAAUUC
rnacentral:rRNA from 1 species